rnacentral:rRNA from 1 species
CAGCCGCCGCGGUAAUACCGGCGGCCCGAGUGGCGGUCACUAUUAUUGGGCUUAAAACGUCCGUAGCCGGGUUGGGAAGUCCUCCGGGAAAUCUGGCCGCUUAACGGUCAGAAUGCCGGAGGAUACUCCCAGCCUAGGGAGCGGGAGAGGCCGAGGGGAUUCCCGGAGGAGGGGGGAAAUCCUAUAAUCCCGGGAGGACCACCGGUGGCGAAGGCGCUCGGCUGGAACGCGUCCGACGGUGAGGGACGAAGGCCAGGGGAGCAAACCGGAUUAGAUACCCGGGUAGUCCUGGCUGUAAACGAUGCGGACUUUGUGUCGGACAAGCUAUGAGCUUGUCCGGUGCCGGAGGGAAACCGUUAAGUCCGCCGCCUGGGGAGUACGGCCGCAAGGCUGAAACUUAAAGGAAUUGGCGGG